GUAGGUGGCAAGCGUUGUCCGGAAUUAUUGGGCGUAAAGCGCGCGCAGGUGGUUCUUUAAGUCUGAUGUGAAAGCCCCCGGCUCAACCGGGGAGGGUCAUUGGAAACUGGGGAACUUGAGUGCAGGAGAGGAAAGUGGAAUUCCACGUGUAGCGGUGAAAUGCGUAGAUAUGUGGAGGAACACCAGUGGCGAAGGCGACUUUCUGGCCUGUAGCUGACACUGAGGCGCGAAAGCGUGGGGAGCAAACAGGGAUUAGAUACCCUGGUAGUCCACGCCGUAAACGAUGAGUGCUAAGUGUUGGGGGGGUUUCCCGCCCCUCAGUGCUGCAGCUAACGCAUUAAGCACUCCGCCUGGGGAUACGGUCGCAAGACUG
rnacentral:rRNA from 1 species